GCAGUUGUUGUAUCCCGAAGGAUGGUGAUGGGAUACCGGAGCGUGGACCGAGCGGAAAUCUGUUGAUUGAGUUUUACAUUCCAAUCCUCAAGUUAAAUAUCUACAACAAAUGUGCAUCUUAUUCGCCGAUAGUCGCCCAAAUUACGUGGUCUGGUUCGGCAAUUAUCAACUACCACACUACAAGAACAAUUACAAGUUAUGAAUUACACAAGACAUCAAGUUGUAAAAUAAAGAUGGAACUCUCACCCAACCAACUGGUCACUGCAACUUACAAUGAAUUUUCACAGCUGGAAUUUCCCGGGCUGAGCGAACUCCACGCGCUCGGCUGCCUGGGGGCGAUUCUUUGAGGCUGCCCCUGAUACAGUUGCUGUCUCCAUUCUGUUGGGAGCAGCAGGGCUGGACGUCGUGACAACCGUCUCGGCGCUGGAAGUCACCUGGUGGAGCGUCAGAGUCGUCGCAUAUGAGAUGUUGGCAGGCCACAGCCAGCCCCUUUGAAUUUGAUGGCAACAAAAGAGAUUUGCAAACGCUCUACACGUAAGUAUCGAUGACCCAACGAACGUGUUCCCUGUGAACAUCAGUCUCGUAUCAACAGUUACAUGCAGAUACUUUGCGGCUAAAACAUUACUGCCUGUUUCAAUGCCAGGAAAGCAGGCGCACAUUUUAAUCAUAUGCAUAAUUAGCCUUAGGCAAGGAAACAAAAUGCAAGCACAAACAUUACGAAAGCAAAUUUGUGCAGGACACCAAUAAAAUGUAAGGGGUCUGUAAGCUAAAGUAUUGCAAAAGCUAAGAACUAACAUAUUUUGACAAGUACAAUUUUCCUUGACUCUUGUAUGACCUGCAUCAAAAACUAAGUAGUUUACUGGAACUGUCACAGGCAUUAGAAAUACUAAUUCUCAUAGCAUGUUUAAUUAGAAUGUUUUAAAUGGCAAGUAUAAUGGGCCUGUCUUUUACAGUAAAAUCGUACAUGACAAACCAGACAUUCCAAUAUGGCUGUCACUGUAUGUAGCAGACGGGAUAACCUCCCAUCAGCAGCAACAGAUCCCAAUUUGAAUGGUCGAGGCUCCAGCCACGGCGUAACUCUGUUAGCAUCAGCAAAAUUUCCGUUUUUUAUAUUAAGACCGUUUACCAUUUCCAGCAAUGCGCCUUGUGCACAGGAAUGGUUUCACCUAGGUAGGGACGAUGCUUGCACUUGCGCAGGACUCCGCCCUCAGUUAGCUUCCUGGUUGGUUGGUUGGCUUCCGCCAGUCUUUAGCGAAUGGUGUUGUGAGCUGGUGGUGUAUAAAGUGUUCCUAAAACAAUAUACUUUUAUAUUCAGAGAAAACCUUUUCUGCAAUCUUCUAUUGAAUUCUUUAUUCUCCUGCUCUUAACAAAGGGUGAGACAUGGAUUUCCUAUUUAUUAUUAAUAUUAUUAUUUCGUUAUCUUGAGAGGUUGUAUGUGAUUUUUAAGCAUUAAAAUGAUAGCAGCGACACACGUCGGCCACAUCAA